CGGGACGGGUGAGUAACGCGUGGAUAACCUGCCUUACACUGGGGGAUAACACUUAGAAAUAGGUGCUAAUACCGCAUAAGCGCACAGAGCCGCAUGGCUCAGUGUGAAAAACUCCGGUGGUGUAAGAUGGAUCCGCGUCUGAUUAGCUGGUUGGCGGGGUAGAAGCCCACCAAGGCGACGAUCAGUAGCCGGCCUGAGAGGGUGAACGGCCACAUUGGGACUGAGACACGGCCCAAACUCCUACGGAAGGCAGCAG
rnacentral:rRNA from 1 species